UUCAUCGGAUAUAGGUAAUAUUUAGGGUAUAAUGUUUACCCUAUUUUACUCUCAACUUAACUUCUCCCCUAACAAAAUGCCUCUCUCUCUUUCAUCCUCACAACGCCGCUCGACACCAGAGAAGGAAUUAGCCGUCGCUCCAUCGCCACUCACCAGCGUUCUGCCAUCGUGAAACUCCUUGGAGUUCACUGGCCACCAUCGUUCAACGGUUCCGAUAAGGAACCUAGACCCAUCCCCAAAACUCUCAUAACCACACCAUUAACAUCUUCUUCCCUCACUUUUCUCUCAACUUCGGUGAUCACCAAGCUACACUCGACGAGGGCUGCGCCCCCAAGGCUCGGACGAUGUCAACCCUGCUCUCGGCUCCUUUACACUCGGCGAAAACCCCAGACGAAUAACGUUUACCCAAUGACAAGAUUCGAAAGAAAACAACUUCAAUGGAUGCCAUGAUUGGUAGUCUCAUUCACGCAGAUGAGAGCAACAGUGAAGCACACAGCAUCUCUGGUGGGUGGCGGGUCGGAUCUUGUAACCGGGUCUAGAUCCGGAUCUUGGGCUUGAACCAACAUCUUGUAAUUGAGUUGAUAUUUAUAACUGCUUUUUGGUCUUUGUUGGGCUUCAAGUUAAUUGUUGGGCUGUAAAA